GGAUUUGUCGUGCUCGGCAACAGACUCAUAAUCUGGAGGUCCCUGGUUCAAGCCCAGGCUGGUCCACGA
rnacentral:tRNA from 1 species